ACCAUGCUUCGUGUCACUUUGUUCCCAACGCGUUUGUAACUGCUUUCAGAAUCAAUUCACAGAGGUCAAGCCAGUAAAUGAUAGGGUAAGAACCACAAAACAAUCACGAUAAGGUUGUUUCAUAACAGUGAGUGAGUUCUACAAGUG